rnacentral:ncRNA from 1 species
GUGUUGUAUGAAAGGACAGAAGGUUAGCACUCCCCUUGAUAAGGAUGGAAGAGGCCUUGAGUGGCCUUUACAACACAUAUACGGUUAAGGCAUUGCCACCUACUCUGUGGCAUCUAACCAUGUUUUUUU